CAAGAGCGAUGAUGCCGGAGAUUGCUGGUAGAAACCAGGUAACUUCGGCGGAGUAGGUCCGACAAUCGGGCGGUUGAGACAA
rfam:Butyricicoccus pullicaecorum 1.2 genomic scaffold acBRa-supercont1.3, whole genome shotgun sequence.